rnacentral:misc_RNA from 1 species
UCUCCGUUGGUGAACCAGCGGAGGGAUCAUUACUGAGUUACCGCUCUACAACCCUUUGUGAACAUACCUAACUGUUGCUUCGGCGGGCAGAGGUCCCUCGCGGAUCUCUCCCGGCAACGCCCUCACGGGCGGAGCGCCCGCCGGAGGAUACCAAACUCUAUUUUAACGACGUUUCUUCUGAGUGGCACAAGCAAAUAAUUAAAACUUUUAACAACGGAUCUCUUGGUUCUGGCAUCGAUGAAGACGCAGC